CACGCCGAAAUUCAAAAAUAUCGAAUGCCAUGUUGAUGUUGCACAGAAGGAAAGUUGGAAAGAGGGUGUCUAGAACAGGGGAAUCAUGUUUAGCUUUGGAUGGAAGAAGAUGAAGACAUUUUAAGACCUGUUGCUGCAUAGUGCCUGAGAUGAUCACCACAGCGAUGGCGUUUUAUAACUUGGUGGAUGUAGAUGCUUAGCCAAUCAGUCACCAGGCUUGUGAAUAUGAUCAAACAUGCUGCAGUCAUCUACUAUGAAGUAACCAUCCAUUCUACAGGAAUCCCUAUGCUCACAAGGACAAGAGCUGUAUGAAAAAAAACACCAAAAGAAAUUGUGCAAGGAAAGUUUGAAGUGUCUGUGGGAAUGAUCAUCAUCCAACUUUCUGAGCCUUCGUACUGAAAGUGAAUGCGUUUGUGACACCAAUUAUCUGUCAACCCUAUAACAUAACCAUUUACUAAUUUCAUGGGAUAUCAGUGAGGAAGUGAUUCUCUAUCAAACACAUUGGACGUUUUGGAUCUUCAUUAAUUGGGAUCUUUGGCACGUACGUUGGGGGAAAAUACUUUAGCAUCUGUUGAUUUUAUGGGAUCUUUGUAUCAAUAUAGUUGUGUAGUACAUAUUUUUUGCAUUUAAUACAUGUGUUUGUCACUCUAGUCAUUAACUCUGUACCAGUACAUAAGCCACUGGCAGUUCAUUGUAAAUGUAUACUCUGUUGAGGUUUCAAUGACCUCUCCAAUUCCAUGUCCAAUGUCAUUUAAUAAAACUAUCUUCUUAUUUUAGAAAAUGCAGA